GGCGAACGGGUGAGUAACACGUGAGCAACCUGCCCCUAACUCUGGGAUAACGCUUCGAAAGGAGUGCUAAUACCGGAUACCAGCACGGAGGACAUCCUCUGUGCUUGAAAGUUUUUCGGUUAGGGAUGGGCUCGCGGCCUAUCAGCUUGUUGGUGAGGUAAAAGCUCACCAAGGCGACGACGGGUAUCCGGCCUGAGAGGGCGACCGGACACACUGGGACUGAGACACGGCCCAGACUCCUACGGGAGGCAGCAGUGGGGAAUAUUGCGCAAUGGGCGAAAGCCUGACGCAGCGACGCCGCGUGAGGGAUGAAGGUCUUCGGAUUGUAAACCUCUUUCAGCAGGGACGAAGCGAAAGUGACGGUACCUGCAGAAGAAGCACCGGCUAACUACGUGCCAGCAGCCGCGGUAAUACGUAGGGUGCAAGCGUUGUCCGGAUUUAUUGGGCGUAAAGAGCUCGUAGGCGGUUAGACACGUCGGAUGUGAAAACUGGGGGCUCAACCCCCAGCCUGCAUUCGAUACGGUCUGACUAGAGUGUGGUAGGGGUAACUGGAAUUCCUGGUGUAGCGGUGAAAUGCGCAGAUAUCAGGAGGAACACCGAUGGCGAAGGCAUUGUACUGGCCAACAACUGACGCUGAGGCACGAAAGUGUGGGGAUCGAACAGGAUUAGAUACCCUGGUAGUCCACACCGUAAACGAUGAUUACUCGCUGUUAUGGUGUAUGCUGUAGCGGCCAAGCGAAAGCGUUAAGUAAUCCACCUGGGGAGUACGCCGGCAACGGUGAAACUCAAAGGAAUUGACGGGGGUCCGCACAAG
rnacentral:rRNA from 1 species